rnacentral:rRNA from 1 species
UACGUAGGGGACGAGCGUUGUCCGGAAUUACUGGGCGUAAAGGGCGCGCAGGCGGAUAUUUAAGUCAGCUGUUAAAGUCAUGGGCUCAACUCAUGGAUGCGGUUGAAACUGGGUAUCUAGAGUGCUGGAGAGGUAGGCGGAAUUCCCGGUGUAGCGGUGAAAUGCGUAGAUAUCGGGAAGAACACCAGUGGCGAAGGCGGCUUACUGGCCAGCAACUGACGCUGAGGCGCGAAAGCCAGGGGAGCGAACGGGAUUAGAUACCCGUGUAGU